AGUUCUCAAUCACAUCAGUGUUGAUGUGGCUUGGAUAAUGGAGGUUUGCAGGUUUUAUUAAAGUCUGCUCCUCUGAAAUUUAUUAGUGGUAUCUGAGCAGGAGCUACUACAGAUGUGAUAAAUAUCUACGUCUCUGGCAACUGCAUUGACAGACUACACCGCUCCUAACAAUGUGUAUGAACACGUUUGACAU
rnacentral:misc_RNA from 1 species